AGCAUCAGAGAGCAGUAUGGGGAUUUCUAAAACCAGAAAGUAAUGCGCAACAACAUCAUCUUCAUCUUCCCAGAAAAAUGUAUAAAAGUGCUCGUAACUCGGGUGUCUCUAGCUGCCUCUGCUGACUUAUUCCUCUUGGUGACUGGUUCUCUCUACCUUUCAGGUUUACUUGCCUUGUGGAAUGAUGUCUACCUAUGGACAGAUGCUUAGCUCCCGCUGUGCUUCACCUUGUGAAGUGACGUGCCCACAACCAUAUGUCAACUGUUAUAAUGAACCAUGCAUCAGCUCAUGUGGCGAUUCAAGAGCAAUUGUGUAUGCACCACCUGUUGUUGUGACUUUCCCUGGACCCAUUAUCAGCUCGUGUCCUCAGGAAAGCUUUGUGGGAACUGCCAUGCCUGAAAUUGAGGGUCAGAUGGGCUCCGGAGGAAUGGGAAUGGGCUCUGGAGGCGGAGGAAUGGGAAUGGGCUCCGGAGGUGGAGGAAUGGGCUCCGGAGGUGGAGGAAUGGGAAUGGGCUCCGGAGGUGGAGGAAUGGGCUCUGGCAGCUCCUGUGGUGGAGGCAGCUCCUAUGGGAUGGGUUCCCAUGGCUCCUAUGGCUCUGGGGGCUCUUAUGGUGGGGAGGGCUCUUGUGGUGGCGGAAUCUCUCGUUUGGGAAGCUUUUACCGAAACUCGUUUUUUUCAGGAUAUGGUAGAAAUUAUUUUCCCUUUUCUAGAGGAUACUAUAGGUAUCGCUAUGGAAACUGUGGGCCAUUUUAAGUCUUUAAGAAAAAGUCAUGACAAGAAAUGAUAAGAUACAAACUAAUGAUUGAUAUAUAGGCCUGGAAAUUAGACAUGCCAAGCAGCCUCUGCUCCGGCUGAUGUCAGUAGGAGUUGGGGUUACCUGGGAUCUCUUUGUGCUAUGUUUUAUCUAAGGCUUACAAUCCCAAUGUUGCAUCACUUUGUCAUUUGCUCAUGUUAUGUUUUGGUCUUUUGAUCUUUCUGAAACUAAAGAAAGUAAAACAAAUAAUGGGACUUAACUGUGAAAGGGUCCAACUGAAAGAAGAAUAUCUUGUGAGCCCUGUGCUACUCUGACUGAUGGUAGUCUUUGUUGAAAUGGAAAUUACAUUCUUUGUCUCUGUGUUGCCUCAUUCUACAAGAAUGUAUUCCACUUCUUGUUUGUAUUAAAACCCUGUUGCAUCAUA